CCACCCAGGGCUAUCCCCUCUGAGAAGUGCUCUCCAGGCAAGGGUGAGGGUCUCCUACUCUGGAGACUACCCCGAGCUGGACCCCCUCGCCUGACUGUACUCUCAGAAAACCCAACACUUCUGCUUUGCUGGAGCCUGGGGUUUCCUGGCUGCCGAGGAGAAAACCGACACCCGUCUCCCAGCCAAGCCAAACUCACUGCCCACUGGGCCCGGAGCUGAGGGCUGGGGAUGGUGGUGGCUUACCUCUGCUGGGCAGAACCAGGGCGACAAUGGUGAGGAGACACAGGCGACUGGACGGUGACAUCUGCGGGGCAGGUGGAGACAAAGGUAAGUGAGGCGGCCACUCCCAUCCCGCAGCCUCCUCGGAGCAGGCCCCGGGCCUCAGGGACCCUCCGGAUUUGUGCCUCUGGGGAGGAACGCUUUUUUAGAGUCCCCAACCACCAUCCCCUCCCUCCAAGAGCUAUCCCCAAAGAAAACCAGGGGCGGCAGGUGAGCCUGGCCUCCUGACAGCGCCUGAGGCCAAGAAGCCGCUCCCUGCUCCCGCCGCCGGAGCUGACCCUCCGAACCCCGCCGUUCCCGGGCGGAGGAAGCCGGGGGCUCCCGCGGCGGCGCCUGCUCCCUCGAGGCCCGGAGCCCAGAGCCGCGGGGCCAGGAGGGGAACAGGAAGGGUGACUAAUGCGAGGCUGCGCAGAGGAAAAAGUGAGCUGGUGUCCGGCUGCGCUGCAGGCACCACCGCACCCAGCCGGGGAGCCCUCCCAGGGACCGGUCCGCCCGGGGUGGGGGCGCUCUGGGGAGACUGAGGCAGGAGGGGGCGCCCACCGAGGAGCCAGAGUGAGUGAACCAGAGGCAUCGCCGUCUCCGCUCCCAAGCCGCUCCCCGCCUGCAUGCGUGACCCCGGGUAGAGCAAAGGAGCCACUUACGUCCGAGCCCAGGGUCUCUUGCCUGGAGUGUGAGAGCACCGCGUGGGAGCCGCCUCGGGGCGGAGCGUGUGGCCAGGGGCGCGGGCGCCGGCGGGCAGGCGGGGACCAGAGCGGCUCAGUCAUUUCCUCUGCCGGUUCCAGGCCCCACAGGCAGGCCUGGGAGCUGGAGGGGUGGAGGGCGAUGGCCCGGCCCCUUGAGGGUCUGAGGGGCGCAGAUGGGGACAAGGGCGCAGAGGCGGGGAGACCCCUCGGGGAGGUGUGCAAGGAAGGAUGUGGCGAGAGAAGGAGGCCCUGGGGGAGGAGGAGGAGGAGGGAUCAGAACAGCCACCUCAGCCUUCCAGCCCAUCUUCGGGUGCCCACAGACAACAACACACAAGACAGAACGGGAGGAAAAAACCGAAUGCACAUUUAUUAAGCUCAAGACGUGGACCCUGAGGGGACAGCCGGGAGGGUCCGGAGGAGACCAGGAUAUGCAGGAAGGAGGGACGCGAGGAUCCCGGGGGUACUGGGGAUGAACUCCUGGAUUCCAGGAGCUGGAGGCCUGAGUCUCUGGAUCUGGGGUGCAAACGGGCUCUUUGGGGGAUCGCCAUUGCCAAGGCCUGAGGAGGGACAGCGGGGUGCGGUGGCUCCGGCCUUGGGGUGGGUGUGGCGGCUCAUCGGGGGCGCACUCCCUGGCGCCAGGCUGGGUCCCCACCGCCUUCACCGGGUCCUUGGGCUCCUGUGCUCAGGCCUGGGACAGCAGAGGGCCCUACACGCCGCCACCUCCAGGAGCUGGGGACAGAAGAGAACCCACGUUAGUGGCCCAAUGGAGUCCAAGGAUGACGGCCCCCUGGCUCGCCCUGGGGAGUCCUCAUUUCUUCCCCACCCCAAUAUCUCGUCACCAUGGGGACAUCUUCGUCGCUGCUGUCCGCCCCAUCUCGAGCCACAGAGGAAACCGACCUGGGUGUUCCUGGGGGCUUAGAGUCUCCUUGGAAGAAAGGCUCCCCGUCUCAUGCUGCACCCCAAGCUCCUUUUCUACAAGCUGGGCAGCUAGCACGCACCCUCCACUCCCCUUCCGGAACUCGCUACCUUUGUUCUCCUGCCCCAGCUAAGGCUGCGUCAAACACCAGCACCACCAAGAGACACCCGGGAUGACCUUAACUCUCAUUAAGAAGAUACGAAACAUGGUAUCAUUUCUCGCUCAGCCUCGCCAUCUAAGCACCACCCCUUUGUCCUAAGACACUUUCUUCCCCUCAAGACAGGCUUUCUCUGGGUAGCCUUGUCUGUCCUGCAGCUCACUCUGUAGACCAGGAUGGCCCCUGGAACUCAGAGAUCCACCAGCCUGUCUCCUGCUGGGAUUAAAGGGGUGCACCACCA